CGUGUAGGCGGAUAUAUAAGUCAGAAGUGAAAUCCAAUAGCUUAACUAUUGAACUGCUUUUGAAACUGUAUAUCCAGAAUGUGGGAGAGGUAGAUGGAAUUUCUGGUGUAGGGGUAAAAUCCGUAGAGAUCAGAAGGAAUACCGAUUGCGAAGGCGAUCUACUGGAACAUUAUUGACGCUGAGACGCGAAAGCGUGGGAGCAAACA
rnacentral:rRNA from 1 species